AACCUGUAUCCUGAACCGUCACCGGAUGGUGGCGUGGCUGGGACACCCAGCCUAGGGACGUGGUUGGAA
rnacentral:sRNA from 1 species